rnacentral:rRNA from 1 species
AUGGCGAUGUUUUCCGCCGGCGAUGGCGGCCAGGGCGGGCUGCUCUCGGCCUUCUUCAGUAACGGCGAUGACAUGCACAUGCUCAACUCGGCCUUCCUCAAGGGCAUGGAGGAGGCCAACAAGUUCUUGCCGACCAACAACACCCUCCUCGAGGCCAUCCUCGGCAAGGAGCGCGGCUUCACCGUCAAGAAGGAGGUGGCGAAUGGAACACCGACGUCCGGCAAUGGCCGGGGCCGCAAAUACAGGUACGACGAGGACGACCUGAAGGCGGAGACCGCCAGGAGCAGCAAGCUGAUGAUGCCGGACAGCGAGGAGACCGGCGCCCGCGAGAUGUUCGACGAAAUAAUGCUGGAGGGGUACGAGGCAUGCAUGCAGGGGAUAGAGGAGCUGCGCCUCGCCAUGGACAGCGAGGCCAAGAAGAAGAACGGGAAGGCGACGCGCGCGAAGAAGAGCGAGGCGGUCGACCUGCGCACCAUGCUCAUCCACCGCGCGCAGGCCGUGGCCGCGGGCGACCGCCGGGGCGCGACGGAGCUGCUCAGGCAGAUCAAGCAGCACUCCGGGCCGACGGGAGACGCCACGCAGAGGCUGGCGCACUGCUUCGCCGAGGGGCUGGAGGCGCGGCUGGCGGGCACGGGGAGCCAGGUCUACUGUUUCGCGCGAUCCGCACUCGCCAGCGCCCACGAUGCGUGCUCGUACGCGUACGUCUCGACUGGCAACCAACAGAUAUCUACAUGCAUGCACUAA